UUUCAUUCACUAUUCUAAAGAAUCUAAUCCAGUCCGGCCCUCCUUUCAAGCCCUAGCUUCCUUUCUCACCGUCAAAACUCCAACGUCAUUUUUAAGCCGAAGUUCACCAUCACCACCGUCGCCGCCACAAAGCUUAGCCGACAAUGGCGUCGGAAGGGUUCCGGCCACUGGACGAGAAGUCUUUGGUGGAGUACAUAAAGGCCACUCCAUCUCUGUCGUCUAAGCUCGGCAACGAACUCGAUGACCUCCAAAUCAAAGAGGUCGGCGAUGGAAAUCUCAACUUCGUCUAUAUUGUUUCCAGCCCCUCCGGUUCGCUCGUCGCCAAACAGGCUCUCCCAUACAUACGUUGCAUAGGGGAAUCAUGGCCGAUGACAAAGGAGCGCGCUUACUUUGAGGCAGUGACUCUAAAAGAGCAUGGUCGUUUGUGCCCUGAUCAUGUUCCGGAAGUUUAUCACUUUGACAGGGUUAUGUCUUUGAUUGGCAUGCGCUAUUUGGAACCUCCACAUAUAAUAUUGAGGAAAGGGUUGAUAGCUGGAAUUGAGUACCCGUUGCUUGCAGAACACAUAUCAGAAUAUAUGGCAAGGACUCUUUUCUUCACAUCACUUCUUCACCGUACUACCACGGAGCACAAACGAGCAGUUGCUGAUUUUUGUGGGAAUGUGGAGUUAUGCAGGCUCACUGAGCAGGUUGUCUUUUCUGAUCCUUACAAAGUGUCUCCUCAUAACCGCUGGACUUCUCCCUAUCUUGAUCGUGAUGUGGAGGCAGUUCGUGAGGAUAACGCUUUGAAGCUUGAAGUUGCUGAGUUGAAAUCCAUGUUUUGCGAAAGGGCCCAAGCCCUUAUACAUGGUGAUCUCCAUACUGGUUCUGUGAUGGUUACAAGCGAUUCAACUCAGGUUAUAGAUCCAGAAUUUGCUUUCUAUGGGCCUAUGGGGUUUGAUAUUGGAGCCUUUGUAGGAAAUUUAAUUUUGGCUUUCUUCGCUCAAGAUGGUCAUGCAGAUCAGGAGAAUGACCGAAAAGCAUAUAAAGAUUGGAUCUUGAGGACAAUUGAGGAGACUUGGAAUUUAUUCCACAAAAAAUUUACUGCUUUGUGGGACAAACACAAGGAUGGCUCUGGUGAGGCUUAUCUUCCAACAAUUUAUAACAACCCUCAACUUCAGCUGCUGGUAAAACAGAAAUUCAUGAAAGAUUUGUUCCAUGACACUCUUGGUUUUGGUGCUGCCAAAAUGAUAAGGAGAAUUGUCGGGGUAGCUCAUGUUGAGGAUUUUGAAUCAAUCACUAAUGCCGGUAAAAGAGCAGAUUGUGAGCGGCGAGCCCUUGACUUUGCUAAGAUGCUUAUGAAGGAAAGGAGAAAAUUUCAGGGCAUCACUGAAGUUGUUUCUGCCAUUCAUAAACUCCAUUCUUGACAAAGUACUUGUCACUCCACAGAGACAAUUCAGAUAUGUUUAGGCGAUCACUCAAUCCAUAGGUUAGACGCUGCGUCCUAGCCAUGUGAUUCAGGAAGCCAACUGUGAUCAAGGACAGGAUGGGACUUAGUGGCGUCGACCUAGUCUCUGCCUUUUUGUUAAGCCAACCUUUAUGCCUCACUGUGAGGUUUCAACCGGUCAAGCUUCGAAGCUUAAUGGGUGGUGUAAAAUUCACCCUUUUGUAUGGUGAACUAGUGCUAUAUGUGAUUUGAAUGUUGACAAGAUUGGUUUUGUUUGUCUGAUUAACUCCCUGAGUUUUGGUUAUGUUUUUGUGACUGUAAUGGUUUGAUACGUAUAUUUAUGUAUAUAUGUAUGUAAGUUCAUUCUGUCCCAUUUAAGUCUUCAGAACUUAUUGGACGUUUUAUUUGAUUAAUUAUUGGCUUCUGCCAGUCCCUACUA